CUAUGAUUCCUUCAGGGCAAGCACUGCUUUAAUAAUUCAUCUUUCUGUCUUCAAAAGUCAGCCCAGUGACUGUCCCUUAUUCCACAGAUGUGGAACCAAUUCAGGAUUGUCCUUGUGAUUCUUUUUCCUAAGUGGAAUACUGAGCCUCCAGCUUGUGUGUCAUAUGUGUGGACUUUUCAGCAUAUUCUUCUCUGGCCCAGAAGUCUGGAUUCUUCUUGUCUGUUGCAAUAAUAUAAAGUUAUUCAGAGCUGUACAUGAAGAGAAGUCCCACAGGGACCCUGGGAUCAGAAGAACUCUGGGAAAUGCCUGGCCCAGCCAGUGCUGUUCUAAAGAUCCUCAUCCUCAUGGAGAUAACCAUUUUUAAGGAAGAAAAGAGGAUCUGGACCCUACCCAUCUCAGUCUCCAUCAGAUCUUAUGGAUGCUCCAGGAAUUGGCCAUGAUUCUCCUCUUUUCUACCAUCUUGUAUGUUGGGCUUUGUAGAGGAUAGAUGUUUUCUAGAAGAAUGGCAGAUAAGGCAAGGUCUGCAGCUUGCCAUUGAUAGUGUCUUUAUCAACAGAUCUGUGAGGAAUUGUGCAGCUGAGAGGGGAGAAGAGAAAUCAGAGAGUGGAUGGACUGCCACAGUUCAACAUAUACUGGUGCUUUCAAUAUAGAAUCCACAAGGCAACCUGCAUGCUGGGCUCUGUGCUAGGCACUAGGGGUAUAUCUAUGAGAUGCCACCCCAGCUCCCACAGUCUUACAAUCUAAUGGGGAAGAGAGAUAUGUCAAUAGACAAACGCAGCAGAUGGCAAGUGCUGGGAUAUGAAACAGUAAGCAGAAGCCACAGUGUUCUCUGGGACUUCUGAGCUGAGUCCCAAAGUAAUUAGAUUAAUCCGUCAUGGGAGGUGGAGUGGGUAGGGGGAGCUCCUGGAAGCAUGAUCAAAAGUGGAGAGCUAAGGUGAGGGAGAAGAAAGAAAUGAGAUUCAGCAAAGAGGAGGAGAGCAAUGAAGGGCCAUGUAUGACCAGGCGAAGGCAAAUUGUUCGGACCAAACAUGACAGUAGGGUGGGUUUUUGAGGGGUAUCCACUGCACUUACAGAGGCAAGAUUCUCUAUGGUGACCUUUCAGUGAGGGUGGGCAAAUACACUACUUUUUGAGUCAGCCAUUUUUCACUACUGAGCACCUCUGGCCUUAGCAAGUUCUGAGCAUGAAUACUUUCUUCUGUUUCUAAGCCAUUCAACAAAUAUCAAAGUGCUUUCCCAUGUAUUGGUCAUCUUAGGCAAACUGGGUGGACAUGUAGAGCAAGACGUAAUGAGGUAAGCACUCACUAGAGCUAGGUCAUCUUAGAAAAGUCACUUAGCUUCACUGAGCCUCAGUCUUCCUAUCUGUGAAAUGGGGAUAAUGACCC
rnacentral:lncRNA from 1 species